rnacentral:rRNA from 1 species
GACGAACGCUGGCGGCGUGCUUAACACAUGCAAGUCGAACGGAAAGGCCCUGCUUUUGUGGGGUGCUCGAGUGGCGAACGGGUGAGUAACACGUGAGUAACCUGCCCUUGACUUUGGGAUAACUUCAGGAUACUGGGGCUAAUACCGGAUAGGAGCUCCUGCUGCAUGGUGGGGGUUGGAAAGUUUCGGCGGUUGGGGAUGGACUCGCGGCUUAUCAGCUUGUUGGUGGGGUAGUGGCUUACCAAGGCUUUGACGAGUAGCCGGACUGAGAGGGUGACCGGCAACAGUGGGACUGAGAUUGGGCCACGACUCAGACGGGAGGGAGCAGUGGCAGAGAGUGCAAAUGGGGCGGAAGCCUGAUGCAGAAACGGCGAUUGCGGGAGAAUGGUCAUCGGGUUAGAGUCGUAUUUCGCCUGUGACGGAGAGGAAGAGACGGGAAUGGGUAGAGUAGGCCCGGCCUACUACCGU